rnacentral:rRNA from 1 species
AGCGGCAGGCUUAACACAUGCAAGUCGAGGGGUAACAGGGAUUGCUUGCAAUCCGCUGACGACCGGCGCGACGGGUGCGUAACGCGUAUGCAACCUACCUUCUACAGGGGGAUAGUCAAUAGAAAUGUUGAAUAAUACCCCAUACGAUCAUUAAUCUGCAUGGAUUGAUGAAGAAAGUUCCGGCGGUAGAAGAUGGGCAUGCGUCCUAUUAGUUAGUUGGUAAGGUAACGGCUUACCAAGACAUCGAUAGGUAGGGGUCCUGAGAGGGAGAUCCCCCACACUGGUACUGAGACACGGACCAGACUCCUACGGGAGGCAGCAGUGAGGAAUAUUGGACAAUGGAGGCAACUCUGAUCCAGCCAUGCCGCGUGCAGGAAGACUGCCCUAUGGGUUGUAAACUGCUUUUAUACAGGAAGAAUAGUACCUACGUGUAGGUAUUUGACGGUACUGUACGAAUAAGGAUCGGCUAACUCCGUG